AUUUUUUAUUUUUAAGAAUAUUUUGACGAGAAAUUUCGACCCUUUUGCUUCCAUCGUAAUUCUACCGUUUCUCGUUUGUUCUCCUUCAACAAUUUCAUUGACUUCCGUUCCAACAACUUCCAGAAUCGCCGGCCCAGCAGCACAGAGAAAAAGCUUAGGGAAAAUGUCGAAGAACGAUGAGCCGGUCGUCGGAAUUCCAUUCUAUGUUGGCAAUAACGCUUAUCAGGCUGGACAGAUCCCUCCGAACGCCAUCUUUGGCCAUCCCCAGGGAGUUCCUAUCCACCAAACCAUGUACCGCGACACUCCUGCUCCUUACUGCUGUGUUUAUUGUGGAAAUUCCGGUCUCACCUCCAUCAGAUCGAAGAUAAGUUUAGCUGCUGUCGUUGGUUGUAUGAUGCCAUUUAUGUUGGGAGUAUGCUUUCUUUGUCCUUCAAUGGAUUGCCUUUGGCAUAAGUAUCACUAUUGUCCCAGCUGCAAGGAAAAGGUUGGUGAUUUUGAGAAAUCGGAUGUGUGUGCUGUGAUGGAUCCUCCACACUGGACACAGCCAAGCUUUGCAUUGCCUGCCUGAUUUUUACGAGCUGCUAGUUUAUCGUGUGGCUAUUUUGCAUUGUCUGCAGUCAGUAUUUGCUAUACUCUUGUGCUAUUUGAUAGAACCAAGUACAUGUUUUUUAUUUGCUUUACUCCUGUGCUAUUUUUGAGAUGUUCUUGUUACAAUUAGGGAUAGGCAAGGUUUGGAUACAACUGUGAUAGAAUCAAGUACAUGUUUUUUUUAUAACUUACCGCUUGUAAAUAACUUGUUCUUACAUUGGCAUUGUUGUUUAUAUAUAAUACCGCUAGCUUAGUCUAGAGGAAUCAUUUCAUAGA